rnacentral:rRNA from 1 species
UACGAAGGGGGCUAGCGUUGCUCGGAAUCACUGGGCGUAAAGGGUGCGUAGGCGGGUCUUUAAGUCAGGGGUGAAAUCCUGGAGCUCAACUCCAGAACUGCCUUUGAUACUGAGGAUCUUGAGUACGGGAGAGGUGAGUGGAACUGCGAGUGUAGAGGUGAAAUUCGUAGAUAUUCGCAAGAACACCAGUGGCGAAGGCGGCUCACUGGCCCGUUACUGACGCUGAGGCACGAAAGCG